rnacentral:SRP_RNA from 1 species
UAUCGGUCGCUUCGCGGCGAUAGGUUGUGAACCCCGUCAGGUCCGGAAGGAAGCAGCGGUAACAACUGAUUCGGGCGCCGAAGUUAGGCUGAUACUG